UGCUCUCAGGUGUGUUUUGUUGGGGGAUCUCAAACCAACGCCCAGAGGGCAACGGAGCACCAUACAGAUCCAUGUAAGCUGGAGCUGAGGUCGCUGCUCUGGGAUUAAAUUCAUCACAGAGUACCAAUUUGAAGCAGUUUAUAAAUUGAGGUCUGGGUUCAAAGCAGCCCUCGCUGUCCUUUUCGUCCCUGAGUCCCAAUGGAGGUCAUAGAAUGACUGAAUGGUUGCAGUUGGAAGGGACCCAUAAAGGCCUUCUGGUGCCACCCCUGCACCAAACAGGGACACCUACAGCUCCAUCAGUGCUCACAGCCCAUCUCCUGACCUUGGCUGGCUGCAGGAAAGGACACCACUGCCUCUCUGGACAACCUGGGAUGGUGAUGCCUUGGGCAGGGAGCAGAGCAGGUCUUACUCAAGGAGCAAGAGAGGACUCAGCUUGGGAUUCAACUGCUGCAGAGAUAUCAGUGCUGAAGGACAGGUGGUUGUCUGUAAUGCGCUCUUGUCAUAACCAGUGUGAACCCAUGGGAGGUGAUGAAGACAUGCAGCCCAAGGAGACAUUGCACUGUGUGUGGGGAUGUGUGUGAUACCCUUACCACAACAGAACCUGCGAUGAGUUAUGAUGUGAAAUAAGCCUGCGCAGAGCAAGAGAAACCACUGCUGCUCCAGAGAAACCACUGCUCCGAGGCCUCUCCAUCUGGUGACUGCUGCCAGAGAGCUGCAAACACUCUGAGCUGAGCUGAGCCUUCCUGGGUUUUGAUCCUCUGAGUGCCUGUGUAAACGUGGACCAGCUGCUUCCACCUUCCGUGCUUCCUGGAGUGGUUCCCAAACAAAAGCACGCUUGCUAUAAAUUUCCAGUGCCACUUUGGCAGCGCGUGUAUUGACUUUUCCAUUUUCCUUUUCUGGAUUUUGUUUCCUCUCACCUUUUAAGUUUCUUCCGUUUUCCCCGAGGGAGUACUUAUGUUCUCAGAUUAAAAACAGAAGUUUGUUCAGGUCGAUUGUUAGUAUGCUGUCAAACGGUAUUUUCCAUAUAAAAAUAUUUAUUUUACUUUAAACCACAUCUUUCUGAUGGAAGAAGGCUUUAAAAGAGUCAGCGUCUGGGAGCUUCUGUGCAUAAAUGUUUCAGCAGUUCUGUGAUUUCAUGGAGCAAAAUAAGAGUGCAAAGGGUAGCCCAUUUCUUUUGCUGCUGGCUCCUUCCCUUCUGACCGUAGUGAAGCUGAAAUGUGAGGUGCGAGUGGACUCCAUGCUGCUGUCUCCCGGAGAACUGGAUAAUUCAAUGUACAUGAACAAGUAUCACCCAAAAAGGUUGACCUCAGUGAUUUCCCCACGUCCCUUCUAUCUCCUAUGACUCUAUGGUGCUGCUCCUUGGGCACAAUGGCUGGUCUCUGGCUAUUGUGUAAAUCCAGCAAAGCAAAUACAGGCCCACGGUAGCUGACCUUCCAGGUGGUGUUAUUGCAGUCCUGUGUCACGUAAUGGGAGGAGAAAGUGGUUUUCAUUGGGCUGCACACAGAUCUCCGGUGAAAUAGAUUUUUAACUUUUGGAAAUCAAUAGGUAGACUCAAUAUGCAGUAAAGAUUAAGGCUGUUACUGAUUAAAUAUUGCUCCUUCCUUCCCUGAGGGCGUAAAGUUUACCUCUCUAUUUACCGCUCUAACUGCUUGAGCUCUUAAGAGAGGCUGCCAGAGAGGGUGAAGAAAUCUUAAUUUUCUCAGUGUUUAAAAGGAGUAAUCCUAUCAUACCUCUUUCUGUCCCAGGCCCCCUGUGUAUAUUCCAAUUAAAAACUCAACCUUCCGGAUUUUUCCAGAUCCAUGUAGGUCUUUGAGAAUAACAUUAGCUGGUACUUCUUAAUGCAUUCUGAGUGGUUGGAGUGACGUUUCUAAGCAGCUGAAGGCAUGGCUGUAGUUGGCAAGGCGGUGUGAAAAGUCCUUCAUCUCAAAGUGCUGCUUUUUGUACAUGAGCACGAAUAUUUCCUCUUCUGCCUUGACAGCAUCCAUUUUGCAGAAAACAAUAAUGAGACAGAAAACAAGGGGUUUUAUCCCAGGGCCAUGUCACCAAAGGCCAGGCUAGAGCCUGCAACUUGGUAAUGAAGACAUCUGCCUAUCUUUAACUUGUUGUUCCUGCUCCACUGUACCCUUUGCAGACCUUGCCACAAACAAAGUGGUGCGUGACGUACAAAUCUGGAACUGAAGAGCCUCUUCUGCACGAAUCUCAUGCUCCCUCCUGCCACCCAUGCCUGGCAAAUUAUAAGUGAGGAAAGCCUAACAGCUCUGAGAGGGCUACUGAAGUCAUAGGGAGUGCAGCCGAUCAUAUCAGGAGGUGCAAAAGCAACUCGAGCAUCUCACUGAUACAAGCCCUUCUUUCUCUCCAGCAGUUGUUAACCAGCCUGACCUUCUCCCUGCUCUCCAUCUGUGCUAAUUAGACCAGGCUUUGAGGUAUCAGUCCUUUCUGUGUGGUUUUUUUUGUCACAGAAUUUCUAGCAAUUUAGCCAAUUGUAUUACGAAUUAACCUUUGGCAUUCUCUUAUGAAGAAAUGGUGUUGAGCCCUGAUUAAUGCCUUGUGAAGCUGUUGGCAGCCAUCGCUGUGAGUUAGUUCUGCUGGGCUGGUGAAUUCAGGGCAGUUCCUCCUGUUGCAAUUGAAACACAGAACUUGCAGUGUGGCUGCAUCAGUAGCAGCAUGUAAACAUGUAAACCCAGCAGUUUUCAUAGAAUCAUAGGGUUGGAAGGGACUUCUAGAGGUUGUUCAGUCCAACCAU